rnacentral:lncRNA from 1 species
UAAAACCUUUUGACUGUUAUAUAUUGAUUUCAAUUACAAUCUUUUUUCUUUUGUUUAAUUAUAAAAUUAAAUUUUUAACCUUGACCUAAAAUACAUCCUUUUCACUACCAAGUUUGCUUGACGCUGCUACAGCUAUCUUGACCAUGCUGCACCACCUGAAACCAAUUGGUAGACAUGGUCCAAAGCCAAAUAUAUAUGAAUGAGACAGUCAUACAGAAGUUUAGGAGAAUCGAACCAUACAGAAUCAACCAUCAAAUAGCUCCUUAUUUUAAGGACUUUUUGGCAAUGGCUAACAAUUGACAUGAUUCUCUUUAUAUCUCUUCUGAGUAACAGUGAAAAUCGAUAUAUGUCAAGGACCGAGUAAAUGAUAUUUAAAGUUUUUACACAUGGAAAGUGAAAAUGAGAUUGUAAAAGUAUGGAAAAAGAGAAAAAAAAUAUUGAAAAAAUCAAGAUAUAUUAAAGUUUUAUGUAUUUUUUUGGUACAGUAAAGUUUAAUGUAUUUAAACAAGCUAAGGGUGAUAUUUGAAUAAUAAAGUUAUAAUUAAUUAUUUGAAUAAUAAUCAUUUUUGAACCUGAUUUGUAGUUGUUUGAUUUAUUACAAGUUUUAUCUAGGCCGUGGGUUAUUAGACAAUUAUAAACCAAAUUACAUGUCAUUGAUAAAAGUAAGAAACCUAAUUGCAAAAUAAAAAAAAAACUAAUAAUUGAUCAAGAGACUAGUAAUUAAUAAAAAAAUGUAGUUGAAAGAGAUUUAUUAAAAAAUUAGUCGUUUAAACAAACCUAUUACUUAUUAACAAAAUAAGACCAGACAAACUAUAUAAAAACUUUUUCUGAAAGAAACCAUCUGUAAAGGAGAAGGGAAAAGCUUUUACCUUGACUUCUAAUUACAUGCAUGUUUUAGUAGGCCCUAUGAUAAUUUUGGAUACCCUUGCUAUAAGUUAUGUAACUUAUGUCAUUGAAUCCAAAUUUGUCUGUGCUGCAUCUGUAACUCUCUUGAACCAAAUUUUCAGUUGUAUUAAAUAGGUAGGCUCAUUGCUCAAAGCAUCCCUUCAAGUUACAAUGCAAUUAGCC